GAUGAACGCUGGCGGCGUGCCUAAUACAUGCAAGUCGAGCGAACAGAAGAGGAGCUUGCUCCUCUGACGUUAGCGGCGGACGGGUGAGUAACACGUGGAUAACCUACCUAUAAGACUGGGAUAACUUCGGGAAACCGGAGCUAAUACCGGAUAAUAUAUUGAACCGCAUGGUUCAAUAGUGAAAGACGGUUUUGCUGUCACUUAUAGAUGGAUCCGCGCCGCAUUAGCUAGUUGGUAAGGUAACGGCUUACCAAGGCAACGAUGCGUAGCCGACCUGAGAGGGUGAUCGGCCACACUGGAAGUGAGACACGGUCCAGACUCCUACGGGAGGCAGCAGUAGGGAAUCUUACGCAAUGGGCGAAAGCCUGACGGAGCAACGCCGCGUGAGUGAUGAAGGUCUUCGGAUCGUAAAACUCUGUUAUUAGGGAAGAACAAAUGUGUAAGUAACUAUGCACGUCUUGACGGUACCUAAUCAGAAAGCCACGGCUAACUACGUG
rnacentral:rRNA from 1 species